rnacentral:rRNA from 1 species
GUACACAAAAAUGCACAUAUUGUGAGCUCGAUGAGUAGGGCGGGACACGUGGUAUCCUGUCUGAAUAUGGGGGGACCAUCCUCCAAGGCUAAAUACUCCUGACUGACCGAUAGUGAACCAGUACCGUGAGGGAAAGGCGAAAAGAACCCCGGCGAGGGGAGUGAAAAAGAACCUGAAACCGUGUACGUACAAGCAGUGGGAGCCUCUUUAUGGGGUGACUGCGUACCUUUUGUAUAAUGGGUCAGCGACUUAUAUUCUGUAGCAAGGUUAACCGAAUAGGGGAGCCGAAGGGAAACCGAGUCUUAACUGGGCGUUAAGUUGCAGGGUAUAGACCCGAAACCCGGUGAUCUAGCCAUGGGCAGGUUGAAGGUUGGGUAACACUAACUGGAGGACCGAACCGACUAAUGUUGAAAAAUUAGCGGAUGACUUGUGGCUGGGGGUGAAAGGCCAAUCAAACCGGGAGAUAGCUGGUUCUCCCCGAAAGCUAUUUAGGUAGCGCCUCGUGAAUUCAUCUCCGGGGGUAGAGCACUGUUUCGGCAAGGGGGUCAUCCCGACUUACCAAC